AUUUUUAUUUUAUUUUACAUGUGUUUAAAAUGUAUUUACUUUAUUUGUUGUUGGAAUCGCGACAUUCUUACCGGGUACUUAACAGUGUAACGUAGUAAGUAACCCAUGUUUUAUAAAACCUAAACAGUACAACCUGCAAUGUAAUAAAAUAGUGGAGGUAAAUGAGUCUAUGUAACGUUACACUGAAGAUCAACAUGAGUGAUUUGUAGGCUGCUUUUUAGUAACAGCAGUAACUUAGCUAAGUUACUGUGUUCCUUACAGUAAUGUAGGCAGUGUUGUGCUUUACAAUUAUGCAUGCAGAGAUAGAUUGUGGGGGAAAGCUAUUCCUCCAUAUGGAAUUAACUUACAGGCCUUUAGUCUGUUGGAAAAAAAGAGUUUUAUUGUGUUAGUGAGGGAAAGCUUGCAGGUCAGUGGGCAUUAACCUUUAAGGUUGGUAAACACUUGUACACUGAAGCAUACAAUACUGUACAAUUACUGACAUAGGCAUGUGCUAUUCAGGUGUCAAAGGUGUGCGAAACUGGAGGGAGAAACUUGAGAGACCAUGCCGGAAGAAUGCUGGACAGAGUUCACUAAAAUUCAUUAAUUUCAAAGUUCAACAUGAAUGGUGGUGGUCCACUGCAGAAGCAAGCAUUUGAAAAAACAUCAGUUCUCAGUUAUUAAAGAUGCUGUGUUGAACAACUUCCCAGCAGCAACAGAACUGGAAGUGAAGGAUGCAAUGGGGGCAUUUCAAACAGGCACCAGGGAGCACGGGCGGGGGGGGGUAUAGAAAUUAGUACAAUUAAUAAGUUGACGUGAACUGAAAAUAGUUUGUUAAUGUUUAGAUGUUAUUUCAUUUUUAAAAUUGUAUUUUGUUAUAUAUGCUUUUAUUUUGUUACUGUUUUUAUUCUUUUUGUUAAAAGUAGUUUUUCUUCAUUUUGUCUUAUCUGAAUUUCUAUUGUAUUAACAAUAUUUUUUGUAAUAAAUUGCAUGUUUAUGAGAACCUUUUUUAAUGGAUUAAAAAGAAUUCUUUAGCCAUUCU